AAUGAACGUUGGCGGCGUGGAUUAGGCAUGCGAGUCGCGCGAGAAUCGUAGCAAUACGAGGAAAGCGGCGAAAGGGAGAGGAAUACGUAGAAAUCUGCCCUCGGGACUGGGAUAGCGGCGGGAAACUGCCGGUAAUACCAGAUAACGUCUUCGGACCAAAGGUGUGAUUCCGCCUGAGGAUGAGUCUACGACCUAUUAGCUUGUUGGCGGGGUAAUGGCCCACCAAGGCGACGAUGGGUAGCAGGUGUGAGAGCACGACCUGCCUCAUUGGGACUGAGACACUGCCAAGACACCUACGGGUGGCUGCAGUCGAGAAUCUUCGGCAAUGGACGAAAGUCUGACCGAGCGACGCCGCGUGCGGGAUGAAGGCCUUCGGGUUGUAAACCGCUGUCGUAGGGAACCAAAUUCACGGGGGUUCUCCCUCACGUUUGACAUAGCCUCAGAAGAAGUGUGGGCUAAGUUCGUGCCAGCCGCCGCGGUAAGAC
rnacentral:rRNA from 1 species